CCUACGGGUGGCAGCAGUAGGGAAUCUUCCACAAUGGGCGAAAGCCUGAUGGAGCAACGCCGCGUGGGUGAAGAAGUAUUUCGGUAUGUAAAGCUCUAUCAGCAGGGAAGAAAAUGACAGUACCUGACCAAGAAGCCCCGGCUAACUACGUGCCAGCAUCCGCGGUAAUACGUAGGGGGCAAGCGUUAUCCGGAAUUACUGGGUGGAAAGGGAGCGUAGGAGGUUAAGGAAGUCUGGAGUGAAAGGCCGGGGCCCAACACCGGGACUGCUGUGGAAACUAGUGAACUUGAGUGCAGGAGAGGUAGGCGGAAUGCCUAGUGUAGCGGUGAAAUGCGUAGAUAUUAGGAGGAACACCAGUGGCGAAGGCGGCUGACUGGACUGUAACUGACGUUGAGGCUCGAAAGCGUGGGGAGCAAACAGGAUUAGAUACCCCUGUAGUC
rnacentral:rRNA from 1 species